rnacentral:rRNA from 1 species
CGGGACGAACGCUGGCGGCGUGCCUAAUACAUGCAAGUCGAACGGUCUUUCUAUGGAAGCUUGCUUCCACUGAGAAGAUAGUGGCGAACGGGUGAGUAACACGUGGGUAACCUGCCCAUAAGAGGGGGAUAACAUCCGGAAACGGGUGCUAAUACCGCAUAGUUUUCUUGAUCGCAUGAUCGGGAAAGGAAAGACGGCCUUUGUGCUGUCGCUUAUGGAUGGACCCGCGGCGUAUUAGUUAGUUGGUGAGGUAACGGCUCACCAAGACGAUGAUACGUAGCCGACCUGAGAGGGUGAUCGGCCACAUUGGGACUGAGACACGGCCCAAACUCCUACGGGAGGCAGCAGUAGGGAAUCUUCCGCAAUGGACGAAAGUCUGACGGAGCAACGCCGCGUGAGUGAAGAAAGGUUUUCGGAUCGUAAAACUCUGUUGUCAGAGAAGAACAAGUUGGAGAGUAACUGCUCCAGCCUUGACGGUAUCUGACCAGAAAGCCACGGCUAACUACGUGCCAGCCGCGGC